UGCUUGUGCAAGGCCAGAGGUCUCACCCCAUGAGGAUAUUUUGAGGCUUAGAUCCCAUGCACAGCCCUGUUCUUCACUAUGGGGGGGAAGACAUGGUAUGCUUGUGAGAGGAAAUGUGAGUGAAGCAACAGAAGACCAUAAAAUAGGAUUAAAAAUAGAGACUGGAGGGAUUUUGUUAGAACCUGGCGUUCCAUCAAAAAAACCCACACAAAUCCCAGGACAUCCCAGAAGCCUGUUAUAAACUAAGAGGGGGAACAAGGAAGAAGAAGAGAUAAAAUUUCAUAAUAAAAAUCAUUGUAAACUA